rnacentral:rRNA from 1 species
UACGAAGGGGGCUAGCGUUGCUCGGAAUCACUGGGCGUAAAGGGUGCGUAGGCGGGUCUUUAAGUCAGGGGUGAAAUCCUGGAGCUCAACUCCAGAACUGCCUUUGAUACUGAGGAUCUUGAGUCCGGGAGAGGUGAGUGGAACUGCGAGUGUAGAGGUGAAAUUCGUAGAUAUUCGCACGAACACCAGUGGCGAAGGCGGCUCACUGGCCCGGUACUGACGCUGAGGCACGAAAGCGUGGGGAGCAAACAGG